GUCUCAGUUGUUGGUUUGUUGUUUUAAUGGACCCAGAAAGGCUCUGCUAGGCUAUUCUAGCAAAAGAGUAAACAUCAAAAUUUAUCAUGAGCUUUCACAGGCUCAGAGAGAACAGAGUACAAAAUGGGACAACAGGAAAAUGCAGAAACACACUGAUGGUGGAAGAUUAUUACAGAAGUUAAUUUCAACAGAUGCCUUUAGCAUGUCAAGCGUUUCAAAAUGUAGAAUUAUCAGCCUUCAGGUGCUGCAAAGAGAAGUUUACUUGAUGGGGGAUGAUCUAAGGCUUGGGAAUCAUCAUGGAAGAAGGGUUGAGAAUAUUGCCAGAGCCAGAGGAACGGGGAUUGCUGUGAGAUUGUAUCUACAAGGAAUUUUAAAAUCUACUCUCUUCAAGUUUCAGCAACAUGGUGACCUAAACACAAGCUAAACAAGUACAAUACUAAUAGCCAUUCUGACAGGUAUAAGAUGGACUCCCAACAUCAAAUGACUGAUAGCUACUUUAAGAAGUGUUCAACAUCCUCAGCUAUCAGAGCCUUCAUCCAGUGGCUGAUGGAAGCAGAGGCAGACACCCACAGCUAAACACUGAACUGAAUUCUGGAACCUAGUUGCAGAGAGGGAGGAGUGAUGAGCAAAGAGAUCAAGACCAGGCUGGUGAAACCCACAGAAACAACUGACCUCAACAAGGGGGAGUGCAUGGACACCCGACUGAUGUAUAGAAGGCCAUCAUGGGACUGAUCCAGACCCCUGAAAGUGGAUAUCAAUGAGGAGGCCUCAGUACACUAUGGGCCCUCUAGUAGUACAUCAGUAUUUUAUUCCUGGAGUAAGAAAGGACUUUGGGAACCCAUCCCACAUGGAGGGAUGCUCUCUCAGCCUGAACACUUGGAGAAGGGCCUAGGCCUUGCCCAGGAUGAUAUUAUAGACAUUGGGGAUCCUCCAUACCUCUGCUUACCCUCCCUGG
rnacentral:lncRNA from 1 species